AUUAUUCUUCCCUUCAUUGGUUAUUAAACUUUGCUGGGCAGCUCGGGUGCCAGAAAUCUGGAUGUGAAUGGGAGAGUGCCAAGACACCACGAGUUUUGAGCUGACAAGGUCACUACUGGUAAGGAGCCGGUGCAGCAGGUGGUGAUGAUAGUGGUGAAUCUGAUGACUCUGAGGAUGUGGAGGCUAAGCAUGACGAAGUGGGG
rnacentral:lncRNA from 1 species